UAGCUGAUUUGAGCUAGAAUAUUAGUUACAAAGCAAAAGAUUUUUAUUGUAAUUUUACUUUAAAGCUAAAACUAUUUAUUUCCAAAAAUAUUUCCAUCCAAAUGGAAGUCUAUUUAUUAAAAUUAGAGCUGGUGGAGACAUACUGCCAUUAAAAAGGAAAAGCACAAGCGUUUUUAAUUUGUAUAUUUUAAGUUGUGAUGGAUACAGCCAUUGACAUUUAGAGGUGUGACCCAUACUUUGGUUGCUGCUGGUACUGUGAUAUAUGCUGCUGCAGCAGCAUUUUGACAGGAGUGAUGCAUUCAGGCCGUUGAAUUGAGGCAAACCAAACUGAGUUUACCUUGAAUGGGAUGAAGGCAAAGCUUUUACACCAUCUAGUGUUGAAAGGAUGAAGAGAAGGCUGCUGUUCUUGAGUUACUUUGUUCUUUCACUGGGAUGUUUGAGUUUCACUUUGCAGAAUUUAAACCAUCUGUUUAAGACGGUUUCAGCAAGUGAAAUGAAACCAAACAAUGGCGGAUUCUAGUUUAAAUUUUGAUCUUUCAUCUAUUUUCUGCUGAAAAUGUUCCUGUGUCAUUUCUGAAAUUUUUAUAUAGAGUCAUGUGAAAAUGAAAGUAGACCCUCUUUCGAUUCAUCUGGUAAUUAGGUUGUAUUUACCUCAUUUUAAGACAAGCUAAGACCACGUGUCACUUUUUAUUUAACAAAAUGAAUCCUAAAUUUGGAAGCAGUGUACACCCUUACUGCUUCCAAAGGAAUAAAGAGGAGAAGUAGCAGAUGGGUGCUGGUAAUCAAAUGCACUUAAAUAACUGAUCAUCAGCAAGUGUGAGCACCUCUAUAAAAGCAGAUGUUUUGGCAUUUUGUUCAUUUGGUGCAUUCAAAUGGGUGAUAACACAAUGCCAAGGAGGAAAGAUAUCAGCAAUGAUCUUAAAAGAACUAUUAUUGCUGCCCAUCCAUCUAGGAAAGAUUAUAAAGUGAUUUUCAAACAAUUUAAAGUCUAUAACCCUACAGUGAGAAUGAUUAUUUACCAGUGGAAAACAUUCAAGACAAUUGCCAGUCUUCACAUCAGGAUCUGCAAUGCUCAAAGAAAUUGCAAAACCCCAAGGGUUAUCUUAGGAUACAGGCUUUAGUUGGCAUCAACAGACACAACCAAAGUCGAGAUAUCUGGUCAUAAUGCACAGUACAACAGCAUAAAACACAGCAUAUCUGCACAAAUGCCCCAUACCAGCUGUCAAGCACAGUAAUAGAAGGGUGAUGAUUUCAGCUUGUUUUGCAGCCACAAGACCUGGGUAACUUGCA